GCCGCAGAUCAACUUUCUGGAUGAACAGGGAAAAUACAUUUAUGCUGAAGAACCCAAAAGAGAUGAAGAUGUCCACGAAUGUUUCACUGUGACACGAAGAGUGACUCUCCGGGAUGCUGCUGCCAACAGGGUCACCUGCAGAGUUCACCAGCCGGAGACCAACCAGACCAGGGAAACGGAGAUUAUCAUUCCAGUUGACGGAGGGCGGUCCUGCUUUCUGC